rnacentral:lncRNA from 1 species
AAAAAAUUAUAAAUCACAUUUACAUUAAUGGGACAGAAACAACAAUAGAAUCGGUUGCAACCAUAUCACAUGGCCAAGUCACGGCAAGAAUAAAGACUUGUUUUGAUAACUAGUCCAAAAUCAUAAUGUUUUGAGCUGAACCAAAAAGACUUGUUUCCUAUGCCAAUCUCCACAAGCGAGUGAACACCAAAUUAUCUGCAAAAGUGAAUGUACAUGAUGAGUUACAUGAACAGAAGCAAGAUGCCAAUUGUGUAUGAAUAUAGAUGAUAAAUGACAAUAAGAUUGACAUAUUUACCUGUUUUGGAGCAAAUCUAGAUCUUCAGCGAAAAUCAUAUUUUUUUUAAUAUUCACUUUCUCUACAUUAGUGCAUGACACAAAACUAACAAAGGUAUAUAAAUCCAAUUUGGCCAUAAUACUUGCAACUUUUGAUUCCAAGUAUAGCAUACUAUUUCUUUUGCCUACAGAUAUCAUCUCAAGUACGUACAACUGAAUGUAUGGGCAUGUAGGAUGUUUGACUAACAAAGCAUGUAGCAAUUCUGUAAAUAUCAGCUAAGGUUUUGCUUUAUUACACAUGAAAGAAUAGCAUGUGUUACAUGCAUGAAGAUAAGUGGGCUAUAGAAUUGGUGGCAUACAUGGAAACCACUUAACGAAGACACAUGCAGGUUUAAGCAUUAACUAAAAAUGUUGGUUCAAAACUGCAUAAUCAAGAAAUAUUAAUGCAAAAGAUGGAUAGAAAUCUUACCGGAAUGACGGGCAUUGUUCUUCCUGUCCAUCAGCAUUGCAUAUUCAAAUAUUAUAGAAAUCCACGAGACUACAAGGAUGCAAAUGAACGUAAAGUUGAAGAGCGUCCGAAUACAUGAACCUGCCCAUGGAGCCAAUAUAACCUUCUGCACCAAGCAGACAAUGAAACAAAAGUAGAAUGUACAUAAGAUAGACAGAAGCG